rnacentral:snoRNA from 1 species
ACAGGACAUUUUUAAAGCUUGGAGUUCAGGCCGCUGGUUGGCUGAUGAACUCACAAGUGUAGAUCAUGUGCUACAUGAGGGGCAAGCCUUUCACCAACACCAUCAGGGUCUCUGGCCCAAUAAGUAGUGUUUGGUUGUAAUUCUUGCUACAAGU